CCUUCAAUAGCUCAGCCAGUAGAGUGGAGGACUGUAGUGUCUGUGACAGCCAUCCUUAGGUCUCUGGUUCAAUUCCGGCUCGAAGGA
rfam:Cricetulus griseus cell line CHO-K1, whole genome shotgun sequence.